rnacentral:rRNA from 1 species
CCUACGGGCGGCAGCAGUGGGGAAUAUUGGGCAAUGGAGGCAACUCUGACCCAGCAACGCCGCGUGAAUGAUGAAGGUCUUCGGAUUGUAAAGUUCUGUGAUGGGGGAUGAACACAAUGACGGUACCCCACUAGCAAGCCACGGCUAACUACGUGCCAGCAGCCGCGGUAAUACGUAGGUGGCAAGCGUUAUCCGGAAUGACUGGGCGUAAAGGGGGCGUAGGUGGUUUAGUAAGUUGGCGGUGUAAUUCCGGGGCUCAACCUCGGCGCUACCGCCAAAACUAUUAGACUAGAGUGCAGGAGGGGUAAGUGGAAUUCCUAGUGUAGCGGUGGAAGGCGUAGAUAUUAGGAGGAACAUCAGGGGCGAAGGCGACUUACUGGACUGUAACUGACACUGAGGCACGAAAGCGUGGGGAGCAAACAGGAUUAGAUACCCUUGUAGUC